AAGAAAUAGCGCUAAGAAAGCAGGUGGAAAAAAUAAUUGGUAAUAUAAAUGAAUCGUCAAAAAUGAUUGCUGAUUUUGAAUGCAGGGUGACAGGAAGGUUGAAAACAAAUAAUGCAAGGUUUGAGCACUCGUUUUCUCAAAUGGAUUGUCUUGUUAAGAAGGCCAAUUUGCUGAGAAGAACAACACUACUGUAUCAACAAAGGCUUGAAAAACGAUGUUCAGACCUUAAAUUGGCUGAGGCUGAGGUUGAUCUUUUGGGAGAUGAGGUGGAUACACUUCUAAGCCUAGUUGAGAAGAUUUACAUAGCGCUUGAUCAUUACUCGCCAGUUUUACAGCAUUAUCCUGGGAUUAUGGAGAUUCUUAAGCUGAUCAAAAGGGAAUUAACUGGAGAGUCUACCAAGCUAGUAAAAUCAUCUCCUGCUUAAGAUAAAGAGUCUAAUUCCCGGUGUUUUUUCAUUCCAAUCCUGCUGGUCCUAGUUUGAAGUUCAACACGAUGCUAGAAAAACAGAUUUUAGUUCAGCGGGACAGACGACAUGUAGUUUGUAGCAACUUGAAAUAGCACAAAGUUCUUGAAGUUUCAACUGACCUGUCUUGUAGAGGGUGAGAUCCUAGUUAGUUCUGUAUAUUGUGUAUCAUCAUCGGACAGG
rnacentral:misc_RNA from 1 species